GGUCCCUGACUACAACACAAUGAUGCAUUUCUUUGUGGAAAAAGGACAGAAGUUCUAAGAUAGCCUCUUUGGGUUGAUACUGAACUUUUUUUUCAUGAGUUCUUUUAAUGUGUUGGCCAAAAUUCAAUUUACUAAGUUAGGAAUGUAUCAGGGUAAUUUUGCAAAAAAAAAAAAACAAACAAACAAACAAACAAACAAAACAAAAACAAAAAACAAAACAUUAACUAUGCACUUAUGUAUCAUUUAUUUAUUUAUUUAUUUAUUUAUUCCUGAGGACAACAUGUGUGCUAUGAUGCAUAUAUAUAAUUAAAGAACAGCUGGGCAUGGUGGCACACGCCUUUAAUCCCAGCACUUGGGAGGCAGAGGCAGGUGAAUUUCUGAGUUCGAGGCCAGCCUGGUCUACAGAGUGAGUUCCAGGGCAGCCAGGGCUACACAGAGAAACCAUGUCUCGAAAAACAAAACAAAAAAAAAAUUAAAGAACAAUUUUCAUAAGUCAGUUCUCUUUACACCAUACGGGUCCUGGAGGAUUGAACUCAGGUCCUCGGGCUUGUCACCCAAGUGUCUUUAGCCUCUCACCAGACUGAGGAAUGCAUCACUGUGUUCAAAGAAUCUUUUGAUUGUUUUGUUGUUGUUGUUGUUAUUUAUUGUUGUUCUUGCUGCUGCUGUUGUUUUUUAAUUAAUGAUUUGAUGUUUAAGGAUGAUUUUAGCUCUUUUAAAGAAGUUGUGUGACCAGGUCAUCCGGGUCAAUCAGCCUUUCUGCUAUGGCACACCGCUGGGCCUUCCUGUGCAGGCACUCUUCAGUAUGGGAUACAAUCAGAGCUUCCAUCUUGAGGUCUUGACUUCAAAUGCAGCCUGCUCAAGGCCAAAGAAUGGCCACUUGACUCAGGAGAUAAUAACUGCCCUUUUAAAACUUGUUUCUCAUUUGAAGUGGUACUAUGAAGUAGAGAGCUAGUCACUGCCCCCAUGUGAGAAACUCCCCAGUGACAGCCAUUCAGCUUAUCAGAGACAUGAGCAGGGGAAUCGUGGCAUCUCAAACUCCCUUUAGCAGUGAGCUAGGAACAAGAUGGCCCAGGGCUCAGCAGCAUACCACACCCUGCCUGCUGCAGGGAGUAGAACAUAGACAGUGACUUUACAUGGAGGCUCUGCUCUGUGCAGCGCAUGGGCUGCUGUGGUGCUCACUCACUUACUGCUGUAAGUCAGUACAGAUGUCAGUCACCUACAGUAAAGUGAGGCUGGUGUCAGCAUACAGUUGUGUCUGACCUAGUGUUUCGGCCUAGAGUCCUCACAGGCUUCCUGCUACCUUAGCUGCCUCUUUAAAACUUGCAAUUUAGAAGAUUCUGUGUUUUCCCACUAGACCCAUUUUUUUCCACUUGCCCACCUCUGCUGUUCUCUAACACGGCGGAGCCAGCCAGUCCCAUUCUCUGCAGUCUAGUGGCAUACAGCACCAGGCUCUCCAGCAGUAGGCUUUUUUCUAAUACUCUGCUGGCUUUGGAACACUGCUCCCCAUGAGUGCCUCUCGAGCCGCCCGAAUUACAGCACUGUCAGACUUAGAAGGUGAGGUCAGUGUCCCUUGUCUCGGAGCCAGCACUGUCCUGGCUUCUGCACAGGGUCACAUGCUGAAGUGCAUCUGGGCUGUCUACCUCCCUGGUGACCUUCUGCCUUGAGUAAGGAUCCUGAUGAUCGUGCAUGGUUUGUCCCCGAGGUUGUUUACAAGUUUCCUGUCCUGAAGUAGACCACAAAAGUACUGUCUGGCCCUCGCCUUGGCUAGCAAGAAAAUGAGCCUCCUCCCCACCGAUUGUCCAAAUUUGUAAGAAUAAGGAAACCCGGGAAUUUUGCCUGCUCGUGUUUUUCUUGGGAUCAGAGUUGGCUCUUCAUGAGAACAGUGCACUGGCGUGUUUGUCGUCAGAUUCCUCAAGCCAACUGGGACCAGUGAGAGCAGGGAAGGUGUUUCUCACUUGUGGAAGGCUGCUGUUCUUUGUGGCUGUUUUUAGUUUUAUUGUGUAUUUAUUCUUUGAUAACAUCAUACAUGUAAAUUAUAUAUUCUGAUCAAUAUCUAUUUAUUUAGUGGGGGGCACACAUGCAGUACAGUGAGUAUGGACAUCAAAGGGCAAUUAAUUAAGGACUCAGUUCUCUUCUCUCAUAUAGAUCCAUGGCUCAAAUCAGAGUAGUACCCAGGUGCUCAGAUAUGCAGAGCCAUCUCACCAGCCUUUUUGGUUUUGUUCUGAUCCACUGAGUUUUACUGAGGGUCAAGGUUAUUUACCAAGCAUGAGCAACUUAUUAAUGGCUACACCACUGAAGAAAGUCAUCCCGUACAGGGGCUAUGCCGAUAGUGUAAAGUGAGCUAAAUCCCGCUUGCUACCAUCCAACAAACACUGCCCUGAGUACAGUUUGUCUGGAGGUCUGUGUACUCAGCAGCCUGGUGGGACAGCCUUAAUUGGGAAGGGUGUGAGGGACCCCAUUUCACUGAGGACUGACAUAGUUACACAUGACAAUGGCACUAAAAUGGCUACCGGUUGUAUGCAUUUCCAAGUUGUCUCAGCCACUGUCAGGAUAUAUUUAGCUGCAGAAAACCAAACCUGGCUGGCUUCCUUCAUGAGGACACUUAACUUUCAUGGAGUAGGAUAUCUGGGGCAGAAAGCAGAAGCUGCCCUGACCUUGUUCCCUGUUGUGGAACUUAGACACUAUCUCUGUAGGCAGAGCAAGUGUGACCAAAGUUGGGCCUGUCAUUAAACACAACCUUUCCACCUCAGUAGGCGAACCAGGGGCUUGAACACAUGCAGUGGUGACAAGGGAAACUGAGGUCCUAUCUGGAGUAUGCUGACACACCAGACAUAGCACCAGACAUAGCCAUUGCUGACUUGUACUGUUCAAGGGCAGAGCUUCUAAGACAUUGGGGGGAUCAAGGGAACUCGGGAGAGGAGGUCUGAUUCAUGCUAGGUAGUGCUAUAGGAGAGGAGGUCUGAUUCAUGCUAGGUAGUGCUGUAGAUGGGACCUUUUCUGAAUUCAUAACAAGCUCAGCAAUGGCAGACCACACAUUGACUCCUUAGAGCAUGUUUUUCCCUUUGCUAUUUAAACACAAUUACUCUCAUAAUUUUUUGUGCCCCAUCAUUAAUGGUGCAUAAAUACUGCCUCAACUCCAAACAGUUCUUUUCUCUUUGCUUCAUUUUAAACAUUAAUUUUCUGGAACUGAAUUGAUGGCCUUAAGCAGGAUUCUACUUCUGCGCUUACUGAUGACCUCCGGGGUCUGCCUAGGCUUAACCUGCUCUUCUGUGAAUGCACUGCCACUCGAGACCUCUGUAUAGUGGGAAAAUCUAAUCCCGGCUACUAUGUGCAGAGUAGACUCUCCUCUGCCCGAAGGCCUCAGCCAUACAUUUACUAGUCCUCCUGCUUUCGGUGCCUUCACAGCUAGGUGUGUCAUCUUUUCUGCUGCCUUUUGAGAUCUGAAGUAUGGAGACCUAGAUCUAGCCGAGGUUUAACUUGAGUUCUGGGAUCCCAGCUUGAGGCAAAUUGUGGCUGUUUAGAGAAGUCCCUGGACUGUAGCUAGAAAUGAGACGGGGAUGCCCAGUGAGACAGAGACAAUGCCAGUAUCCCGUGACAGCCCAGCGUAAGAUAUAUCAGCUCAUCCUGUGUCAAAAGAUAAAACCCUCUGCUUGGCACCACCCCUUUCUCCUCUGACCUCCUACUCACUCACAUCUCUCCAGGGAGGCCCUGCCUGGUUGCCUGUCUCCUCUGUAAGAGGCAAGCCCAGUGUGUAGAGGGUGAGCCCAGGCUCAUGCAGUAAGGCAGGGCUGGUGGCCCCUUCAGAGCAGCAGCAUCUCAGUUCCCUAUCUGUCUGAGGAGGCUGGUGUCACUGACCCUAGCCUCUCAGACCAGUGGUGACAUUAAUUCAGCACAUAGGAAAAUGUAGGCACAGUGCAGCUGCUUCCUAUAUUUGAUACAAGACCUAACGCCACAGCUGCCACUGUGGGUGCUUAUUUUACCCUCUUCUCUUGUGGAAUAGAACAGACCACCAGAGACUUGCUCAAACAGCAGCCAAGACCCAAGAAGGGCAAGGCCACUUUGCAGAGUCAGUAACUAAAAUGUCAAAAGAAUAGAAUCUGUAUCUGAGAUCACUCACAUGUAAGACCUUUGUUGAAGCAAGGUGCCACAGCAAAUCCCAAGUAGCAGAACACCCCUGAGGAAACUGAACAUUCGUAUACCAUCUCAUUAGGAGUACCCUUGUGAGUUUUCCAAAAGCAGCCAGGCAAAACCACUAGCUUGGGCUGGGGGUAUAGUUCUGUGGUGCAGCAUUUGUCUAGCAAGUACAAGGCUGUAGGUUAGGAAACAUGUUUAUUCCAUAGUUUGGGAAAUUUUGCAUUUUCCCCCACGUUCUUGGGAAUUCACAUUUCCUACUUGAUCUUAGAAGACCUGAAAAAGUGAACAAAGAAAACUCAAAUUAAUCUAGAAAUUUUUGAAGGAAUUAAAAAAACUUUACAUAUUUUAAGUAUUUAUUAGAUAUUACAUAUUAUAAAAAUACAUAAAAACAGUUCCCACUGAGCCUACUUUGAAUAUGGUGCUAAAUUGCCCAAGAUAAAAGUGAAGGCUGCCCCUGACUGUCACAGUUGAUUGGUGGUGUUACUAAGUGCUCAGAGCCCCGAGCAUUACAGCCUCUGGAGCCAGAGCAUAAUCCUCUUGCUUGGACGACGUGACAGUACCUUCAUGUCUCUGUUCAACUCUGAACAAAUGAUGCAAUCACAGCAGGGAGUCGUGACCUAGAGCCGACCAUGUGCUUGGCUAAAAAUGAGACAGGAAACCAUCCCAGGAAUCUCAUGUGAAAUCCCAGCCUAGUGUUUCUCUACACUAUAAAUAUCUUAUAUAAAUUCUAUAAAUUUGAGACGCCUAGCUGAUUACUAUAGCCUCAGAUCUCUCUUAUCUUGAAAAAGUACUGCAAACAUGAACCUUUAAAUUUUAUCUUGUAGAAAGAACCACCAGCCUUUAGCUACAAGGAAUGAGUCUGUGCCUUCCCUGCACAUGGACCAAGGUGAUAAGAUCCUUCUGCAGAGUCAGUGACCAGCAAGGGGAAGGGCUUAUUUUUUGAAUAUUGAUGAUUCAAAAAAAAAAAAAAAGCCUCUGACUUUGCUAGAAACCAGAAAUCAUUUUCCUAGGAAAAUUGAUUUGCGAAUUCUUACUUGAUGGUUCAGCUUUAAAUUUCAUUAGAAAAUGGGAAGGUCGCCAGCUAGUGAACUUUUUACCUGAUUAGCUUCUGUCCUAGUUAGCUUCAGCUGUCAGAUUGACACAGCCCAGAGUCAUCUGAACAAGGCUCAGUUCAGAGAUUGCCCAGAUCAGAUUGGCCUGUGGCCAUGUCUGUGUGAGACUGUCCUGACUGAUGUAGAAGGCCCAGCCCACGCCUAGGCAACCCCAUGCAGAGGUAAGCGAGUCUUAGCUAUAUAAGGGAAGCUGGCUGUGUGAAUUUUCCUGUUGUUCCCAUACUGAACCCUUGCCUGACUUUCCACAGUGAUAGGCUGGGACCUAGACAUUAUAAGUCAAGUAGCCCUUUCCCACCAAGUUGCUUUUGGUCAGUGUUCUAUCUCAGCAUCAGAAAACAGGCUAGCAUCCCUUUUGCGAUGGCUUGGCUUGCCAACUCAAGCAGCACUCUUCCCUGUGUUUGCAUCCACAGUUCACCUUGUAGGGAAAGCAGCUUGUUACACCCACAACACGAAAAUGUCUGCUCUUCAUAGCUGCAGCCUGUACAUUACUCACACAAAAGUGAAAUCUGAAAUGCUUCAGACUCCAACAUGAGGCCACAAGUAGAAGACUCCACCUUUGCUACUUCAUUAAACUAUUAACGUAUUAAAAUUAUUGUUUUAUUAUACAAAAGAACCGUCACCCUAAGGAUUAGUCCACUCUUGAAACAUAAACUUUAGGUUUAGACUUGGUUUCCUCCCCAGUUAACCUCAUUGGGUAAAUGCAGAUAGUCCCCAGACUGAAGAAACUUAAAAUCACAAACAUUUAAGGUAGGCCACACUUGAUCUAUGAGCAACUGAGAGGGUGGAUUUUCCCCCCACACUCCAUACCUCUGAUGGUCCUACUGGUUUAGAACAGAGGUGUCUCAUGAAAUUAUAAAGUUGAAAGCUUUUUGUCUUAGCUGAGGGUAUUCCAUACAACUGGAAAAUGUUCACCGACACUACCAAGCCUUAAAUCUUAGCCUCUUCACUCUCGUAGCAGGCAUUAGUCUGAGUAUAAAACUGCCUUCCUUGCCGGCUGAGCUGCCUUGUUCACGUCUGUGCCUGUGCUUUUUGCCCAGCAUGGCACCUCCCUCCUCCCUCUUUCAUGUCUGGGUACUUGUCUCCCAGACAUUCACCUCACUCUCUUAGCUAGGCUGAGUGAGUCAGGACAAACAUAAAAACGAUAAAGACUCCCUGGAGGGAAGCGAGUGAGGGUAUUUUGAGUGUCUUCAGCAGGGAAAUGGGGUAAACACCCUCCUCUCCUGUGACCACGAGUGCCAAGUUGCUACAUUUCUAGGAAAGAGAGUACAGAUGUUGACCUCAUCUGGAAAGGUUAAUAAUUACAUGCCUUCAGAUUCUCUAGAGAACUACAUGCAAAUGACUACUUGUUUAUCUUUCACCUUACCUCAAAGUAGUUUCCUUCUUGUAAUUGUAUCCGCAGACAUUCCGUGCUAAAUCAAAGCAGUAGGUUCCUAACGGUUUUAUAGUAUUCUGGCAUCUUGGAUUCAUUUAUAUGUGCAGUUCAUUCCUGGGCUUUUAUCCCUGAAAGUGUUUCUGUUCACACCGUCCCCACUUUCCCCACCAAGCCCUGGAAGGGAACCAGAUCAGCGGCAGCAAUAUCAUAAAUAUUUGAAAGGGGAAGCGACAGUUUUUCCUUUUUCAUUUAACUCUGGAAUAUAAAUAUGAAUUCUGAGCAUUGAGUCACAACAAAACAGUGUUUUAACAAGCUUGCCACCACUGCAGCAAAAUAGAUCUGAGGCACCAACCCGUAAGGAUAAAAAGGUUCUUUUGACUCAGAGUUAUAAAGGGCCCUCCUUGGAGUGGGGGUGCUGCUGUCAAGUGAGGCACAGAGAGGAAGAGCUCAAUGCCACAAUGUCUCCUUGACAGGCAGGCCCACAGGGGCUGCCCACAGGGGCCCACAGGGGCUGAAGAACCACCCAAAGCUCCCACUCUUCCAAACUUCACCAGGCUAGGGACCAAGUCCCGGACACAUGGACCUUUGCAGACACUCAGCUCAAACUGUAAUAGUAAGACAGUAGGCACUUUCUCUCUGUUUUUGGUUUCUAAACAUGCUCCCCAGUAAAAGGAAUAAAGUUUUUUAAAUAGUAAAGGCAAGGUAUAACGAGGAUGGAGGAGGCCGCUGGAAGAGCAGAAAAAGGAAGGAAGAUGGAGAUCAGGAAGCCUUGAGUGUGUGGUCCCAAUAGACAUCUCCAGGAGUGGGGCACAGCAGACCUGGUGACCCAAAGGGAUCUCAGCAUCUCUUCAGUGGUAUUGCCUGCCCUGAACCAGGUCCUGGAUAUGUUCUACUGAACAGCCAGAGCUCUUCAGGACUUUUUAGACCAUAGAAAAGUCCCAGGAAAUAAAGACCUACAGAGUAAGAGACCUAAUGGGGUACAGCUCUGUCCAAGCGGGGCCCAUGAAUUAGACAGUCAUGUGGGCCACUGAGAAUUCCCUGCUGUUGAUCAUUGAACUAGAGUUAUAUAAGAAUGUUUCCAGUUUAAAAAAAAUCACAUAGUCUAGCAGACCCCAGUAGACAGAGAAGAGAAUGGAAAGAUGAGCAAGUAAAUGAGGCCAGAGGCUGCUAUUAGGGAACCCUGAUGAAGCACAUACAGAAAUCUAUACUACUUAAACAUCUGUGCAAGUGUCAAAGUAUUACAAAAUAAGAUGUUCAACCAAAAAUAAAAAAUAAAAAUAACAAAAAGCCCUCUGUAUAAAACCAAAACUAUGCCCUGUCUACACACAAGGUGACAGACAUCACCAGAGCAGGCCACCAAAAUUCUUUGCAUCUACAAGAAGGUUAUCUUUGAAUUUUUGAUGUUUAUAUUAAUUUCCUUCCAGAUUCAAGGCCAAGUCAUUUUGCUUGCCUGGAGCAUUAUGAAAACCUCUAGCUCAGCAAUAAGUCCCCACCCAGGACCCAUCAACCCUUUGCAGAGUGACUUUCCAUUCUAGCCUGAAUGCAUACACACAUACAUCUUCUCACUGUCUUUAACCCCCUUCACCUUCUAACAUCUGACACCCCUGGUUUUUGCCUCUGUUGUCUGCCUCUCCUCCACUUAAAUGAAGCUUCAUCUACCAAAGACAUUUAUUAGAGGGGGCAAAUCCAUAGAAUCUUCAUGCCUGGCACUGAAUAGGUUCUUAGGGAGUAUCAGCUGAGGGAAUCCGUUUUAGAAUGCACUUCUCACUUCAUCCCCUGCAAAUGGACCUGAAAUAACUUGCAAAUUUUCACACAGUCCAACUCAAAUCUUUUAAAAAGUUUUAAAUUACAUUUUAGAUUUGUUUUAUGAUAAGUCUAGUAAACUUCAAAUAAAAAAAUGCCUCUUUUUUGGAAAAGAAAUGUUAUAAAUCAUACUUGUAGUUCUGUAUUGCUGAGUUCUUUGAUGGGAUUUCUAGGUUAUAAAAGUGUUAUGCCACAACUUCAGGCAGUGUUUCAGUCUAGCAGUUGGAAGUUGCUACAUGAUUUUUUUAAUUCACUCUCAUUUGCUGAGAUUAUUAGUAAAGGCAGCUGUACUAGAGUUAUACUAUGCAUUACAAAGAGCUGUCUUCCAUUCAUGGACAUAUGUACCCCAUGCUCCACCCUGUCACCUCCGCAGUCAUGUCUGUACUGCUGACACUGGCCAGGCCCAGUGAAGGAACCCAUAAGAGCCCAGCACGAUAAGGCUUUGUACAUGACACUUAGGAAUGAUCUGUGGGUCUUUUAAGAGCCACCUACUCACUGGGGAAUGGGCCUCAGAUAAAAUAAAUCCACUAGAGUCUAGCUCUUUUCAUAUAGAUAACUUCCAUUUGUAUUCAGUCAGGAGACCUCUUCCCACUCCUGUCCAAAAACAAAAAAAAACAAAACAACAAAACCAAAAAAAAAAAAAAAAAAAAAAAAAAACCCACA